GUGGUGCCCAACCCAGUCCUCAUGGACCACCAACAGUUCAAGAUUCAUGUAUUUCCAUUUUUUUAUGGAGAUAAAUGGAGAUACUGACAAAACCUGGACUGUUGGUGGUCCAUGAGGACUUGGUUGGGGACCA